rnacentral:lncRNA from 1 species
UUUUUUUAAAACAAAACAAGUGUACAGUAGAUAUACAUUAAAAUAUUUAUCAGAAUGUUGUUCUUCAUCGUCCACGAGCUCAGUAGUUUACACUCAGGUACUGAUUUAAAAUAUCAUUGACGAAGAUAUUUUCUGUUUACAUUUGACAUGUGUUUGCUACAAAAAACAAAGAAUAACAGGAGUUACUAAAAGUAAAUCUACAAAAAAACACAAAAAGCAAGCAACAACAUAUUGUCCGUGCUUGUUUUUU